UACGGGGGGAGCAAGCGUUGUUCGGAUUUACUGGGCGUAAAGGGCGCGUAGGCGGUCAGCACAAGUCAGUUGUGAAAUCUCCGGGCUUAACUCGGAAAGGUCAACUGAUACUGUGCGACUAGAGUGCAGAAGGGGCAACUGGAAUUCUCGGUGUAGCGGUGAAAUGCGUAGAUAUCGAGAGGAACACCUGCGGCGAAGGCGGGUUGCUGGGCUGACGCUGACGCUGAGGCGCGAAAGCCAGGGGAGCGAACGGG
rnacentral:rRNA from 1 species